rnacentral:misc_RNA from 1 species
GCUCUAAAAGGUAUUGUUUGACAAAUUUGACUCCAUCCCUUUUGAAGCAAUGGCUUUGAGCGAUACUGCGAAGUUUUCCCUUGCUGUGGCGUUGUUCGGCUCAAUUUCUUUCAUACUCGGUGUAGUAGCUGAAAACAAGAAGCCCCCAUUUGGUACUCGCAUUCAAGGAAAAGAUUCUAUCAUAUGCCAAUUCCCUAGCGAUCCAACGGUCGCCCUCGGAAGUGUAUCAAUUGUCGCACUCCUCUUCUCCGCUGUUCUUGGAGUCCUUUCCGUCUUCUAUCCCUACAAGGGCAAAUCCGUCCCCAAGGGUGCUCUGUUCAGCAGUACCACAUUGCUUGUAUUCUUCAUUAUCUCAUUGGUUGUGACUGCUCUAGCAGAGGGAAUGAUGAUGUGGGCAACCAUCACCGAAGGUCUCCACCGCACUAACAACGUACACCACAACAUGGAUGCAGAAUGCGCCACCGCCAAGACUGGCCUAUUUGGUGGCGCUGCCUUCCUCGCCCUUGACGCUGCCCUCUUCUGGCUCAUCGUCCAAAUGCUGACGAUGAAUGCGAGGGCUGAUUACUUGUGUGAGGAUGACGAAGACCUCAAGGGCCCUUAUGGGCAGGUGCUCGCCACUGAUUAUCAGUCGAACAGCACGGAACCGGCUAGCAAGGCAUGAACUGAACGAGUACAGGUAUGAAAUUGCAAAUGCAGGUGAAGCCAUUUGUAAAUAUAUGCUACUUGUUAUAGAUUCUACACUCCAUGAAUGGAAGUCGUUGUGGAAUCAAUAUUUGCUUUCGUAAAAACAAAUUUAAAUUUGAUGUUGAUUUGUAGUGUUGUUCGAAAUAUGUCGUGUUAAAUGGAUCUCCU